UUCUACCUCAGAGCUGGGGAAAUGCGGGCAGAGGGGACAUUCUUGCUGGAUCCUGGAGGAUGACAGGAUGUCUCAGGACACUCCAGGCAGCAGGAACAUGUUCGUGCAAGAGAGGCAGGACCGUGGCCGGCAUUGACAAGCUCACAGGGAGGGGGUGCGGUGCAAGGAUCAACUGGAGGAAGUAAACAAACAGUGGAACCCACGAGAAAGGAGACCACAAAAACGUAACAAAAAGAAAGGAAGCUAAAACACAAGAGGCGGCCGCGAAGCUAGAGUGUAGGAAAGCGGCAGGAGGGAUGAUGUGAAGCUCGAGAGAGCUCUGAGACCAACCAGAUGUGAGGGGCACAGAUUCGCUGGAGAGGCAGAGGUCUUCCUGAGGCUUUUGCCUAACACCUUGUAUCUGGUGGAUGCUUCUCCCCUACGCCAGAGGAGCUGGGCAAGUAGAGGUAAUCAAAGUAGAAAGGGGAAAAGGAAAAGAUGAAAAGCCUGGGAAAAGGUAAGGAUGCAGAUUUGCCCAUGGACUUAGCCCUAGCUACUCCUAGCCUCCGGUACCUGAAGGACACAAGAAAAAAAAAUUUUUUUUCAGUAAGAGUAAUAGCAUUUUAUCAUCUGUCAGCGCCCACCCCUCACGGUGAUGCCUCUCACACAUAGGCCUGGAAGAGCUCUGGGUAGUGCUGGAAACUCACAGAGGGGUCUGAACACUCCUGAGGAAGAGCCCAGGGCAGAGUUCACACCUGUGUGUCAGCCCUUGAGGUCCACGGCACCAGGCUGGCACUGAGGUCUACUGGUGGGCCUCUGGCUAAAGCACCUUCCACACUGGGGACAGGAAUAGGUCAGCUUGCCUGUGUGAGUCAGCAGGUAGCACGAGAGGUACCACCUGUGGCAGAAACAGGUGCCACACUACGCGCAGGCAAAGGGCCCCUCUCCAGAAUGCACUGAGUCAGGUGAAAGGUCAUGGCAAAGCGUGCCUGCACUCGGGGCAGGGUGCUGUGUGAGUACCAGGCACUGAGGCUGGGUGUAGAGUUGGGGCUUGGGAAAGGCCUGUCUACCUGGGGUGCUUUGGCCACAGGCUCAGAGACCAAGCUAGUGUCUCUGACCCCAGGGGCUCAUGACAACUCCCCAGUAGACUCCUGCUGGCUUCUUCCAAAUGUAUCAUUUUUCUGAGUGGCUGUUUUGAAACAGCAGAUUCAAAACUUACUUUUUGCCCUAUUUAGUCAAACUCUACUCAAUGUUUAGGUGGCAGAAUCAACUUUCACAACCUCAGAUGGGUGCCUAGCCCCUGGAAGCACCCACCUAGACUGUGUUGACCAAUUGAGGGGGUCACGGCAAGUCAGGGACAUUCCCACUUCAGGACCAACCCAAAGAGACACCCUCAACCAGAGAAACAGGUGUUAUAAGGCACAGGCACCUACAGGAAGGGGAACUGCUUCCAUCCUAAACUUUCAUUCACACGUUGACACUGACCUAGAGUUUGGAUGAUUUGUACAGUGUGACCUGAUCUUGGGACGCGUGGAUGCCUCAAUUAAGUGAAAAAGAGAAGGUCAAGAUUCUAGUCUCCGGCAUCCACCUGGGGAUCCUGAGCAUCUGCACUCCACAUCUGGGCCAUCUUUUCUACCCAGGAGAUGAGAGCUGGUUUGGGCUCUGGAAUCUUGGAGAAGAACGUUAAUCACUCAAUAAACAAUUCUUCAUUCAUUUAAUGAAAACA